rnacentral:lncRNA from 1 species
AGAAUACCAUACAUGAAAAGAACAGUGUGAUUUCAAAGAUUUAUCAAGACUUUUGUUCUGAGAAUACUCAAAUGAUUUUUUCUGGUCAAGUAAAUACUUUAUGACAUAGUUAAAAAUAACUUUUGGAAAAUACUAAUAUAGGGUUUGAAAUGCAAAUUACACUCAAGGCCAUAAUCUAUGGGGCUUGGUUCUACAAGAGUUAUUUCACAGGAGUUUUUAUUUCCAUCUAUCAGGUGCUAUUCCCUAUAUAGUUUCCAUAUUGCAGUCGUUUCUUUACAGCUAUGACAGAACACAAUGUCAAACUCAACUGAUGAUCUCAAAGUCCCCAUGGACCACAGCCAUGUAUGGACAGGAAAGACAUACAUUUUUGUGUCACGGGGGCUCUUUAUUUCGCCCUCCCACCCCCGCCCAACUUGGCAGCCCAGGAUGAGGAUGGAAAUUUGAAAUGAACAUGAGAAUAGAAUUCCAGCUCGGUGACACAGAAAAAUAAGGAUGAAGGGAAAUGAUGAGCUCCGUUUUAAUGUAUUAUUUAGAAACCUCUCACUGCUGACAUGAAGCUGUUCUGAGUACCGACAAGGUGUGACAACAGGAAGUGCAACGAUGGGCAGGUGGGGGAUAAUUGUGUUAAAUAGGCUUUUUUUUUUUUCUCUCGUAUGCCUUUGUGUACUUGCUCGGGGGUCAAAAAAGAAAAAAUAAAAAUAAAAAGAGCCCUCUCACCAGAAUGACUUAUAAUUAUUACACUGCUCCAGAUCAUCGUACCUUGUUGGCAGUCGGCUGUUAAUUAUUUGUCUGUCAGGAAUCAUUCGCUACAUGCUUACUGUUUCUUUCCCUUCUUUGUGUGAAUGGGAGUUAUAUUUUAUUUUAUGAACAAUGCUUUUCUGUACUAUAAGACAAGACACUGAAAACAAGGAUGUCUGUUUAUACAGCAGGCACAUCUGGCUUUCACUGCCAAGAUAACAAAGAACGUGGAGGGAUAUUUUAAAGCAAGAAGCCAUCUUUGCCUAUAUGAUAUUGAAAAGAUUGGGAUUCAUUCAUUUUGACUGUAAGGAUCCCAGGUAAUUCCGCAGUAUAAUUAGAGCAGUUUCGUGAAAGAGUCUAUUGUGCCGAUGAAGCCAUAUCAUUUAU